rnacentral:rRNA from 1 species
UUGACCUCGGAUCAGGUAGGGAUACCCGCUGAACUUAAGCAUAUCAAUAAGCGGAGGAAAAGAAACCAACAGGGAUUGCCUCAGUAACUGCGAGUGAAGCGGCAAAAGCUCAAAUUUGAAAUCUGGCGUCUCUGACGUCCGAAUUGUAAUUUGGAGAGGCAACUUCGGUGAUGGCGCCGUCCUAAGUUCCUUGGAACAGGAUGACACAGAGGGUGAGAUCCCCGUACCUGGGUGGCUGUCCAUCGCCAUGUGAAGUGUCUUCGACGAGUCGAGUUGUUUGGGAAUGCAGCUCAAAAUGGGUGGUAAAUUUCAUCUAAAGCUAAAUAUUGGCGAGAGACCGAUAGCGCACAAGUAGAGUGAUCGAAAGAUGAAAAGCACUUUGAAAAGAGAGUUAAAAAGUACGUGAAAUUGUUGAAAGGGAAGCGCUUGAGACCAGACUCGAUUCGUGGUGAUCAGCUGUGCUUCUGUGCAGUGCACUUGCCAUGGAUUGGGCCAGCAUCGGUUCCGACGGUGGGAUAAAAGGUUAAGGAAUGUAGCUUCCUUCGGGGAGUGUUAUAGCCUCAGCCAUAAUGCCACCAGUUGGGACCGAGGACCGCGCUCCGGCUAGGAUGCUGGCGUAAUGGUCUUAAGCGACCCGUCUUGAACCACGGACCA